rnacentral:rRNA from 1 species
AUUGAACGCUGGCGGCAGGCCUAACACAUGCAAGUCGAGCGGAUGAAGGGAGCUUGCUCCUGGAUUCAGCGGCGGACGGGUGUGUAAUGCCUAGGAAUCUGCCUGGUAGUGGGGGAUAACGUCCGGAAACGGGCGCUAAUACCGCAUACGUCCUGAGGGAGAAAGUGGGGGAUCUUCGGACCUCACGCUCUCAGAUGAGCCUAGGUCGGAUUAGCUAGUUGGUGGGGUAAAGGCCUACCAAGGCGACGAUCCGUAACUGGUCUGAGAGGAUGAUCAGGCACACUGGAACUGGGACACGGUCCAGACUCCUACGGGAGGCAGCAGUGGGGAAUAUUGGACAAUGGGCGAAAGCCUGAUCCAGCCAUGCCGCGUGUGUGAAGAAGGUCUUCGGAUUGUAAAGCACUUUAAGUUGGGAGGAAGGGCAGUAAGUUAAUACCUUGCUGUUUUGACGUUACCAACAGAAUAAGCACCGGCUAACUUCGUG